ensembl:rRNA 5S_rRNA 5S ribosomal RNA
GCUUACGGCCAUACCACCCUGAACACGCCCGAUCUCGUCUGAUCUCGGAAGCUAAGCAGGGUCGGGCCUGGUCAGUACUUGGAUGGGAGACCGCCUGGGAAUACCAGGUGCUGUACGCU